GAUGAACGCCGGCGGCGUGCCUAAUACAUGCAAGUCGAGCGAACGGACGAGAAGCUUGCUUCUCUGAUGUUAGCGGCGGACGGGUGAGUAACACGUGGAUAACCUACCUAUAAGACUGGGAUAACUUCGGGAAACCGGAGCUAAUACCGGAUAAUAUUUUGAACCGCAUGGUUCAAAAGUGAAAGACGGUCUUGCUGUCACUUAUAGAUGGAUCCGCGCUGCAUUAGCUAGUUGGUAAGGUAACGGCUUACCAAGGCAACGAUGCAUAGCCGACCUGAGAGGGUGAUCGGCCACACUGGAACUGAGACACGGUCCAGACUCCUACGGGAGGCAGCAGUAGGGAAUCUUCCGCAAUGGGCGAAAGCCUGACGGAGCAACGCCGCGUGAGUGAUGAAGGUCUUCGGAUCGUAAAACUCUGUUAUUAGGGAAGAACAUAUGUGUAAGUAACUGUGCACAUCUUGACGGUACCUAAUCAGAAAGCCACGGCUAACUACGUGCCAGCAGCCGCGGUAAUACGUAGGUGGCAAGCGUUAUCCGGAAUUAUUGGGCGUAAAGCGCGCGUAGGCGGUUUCUUAAGUCUGAUGUGAAAGCCCACGGCUCAACCGUGGAGGGUCAUUGGAAACUGGAAAACUUGAGUGCAGAAGAGGAAAGUGGAAUUCCAUGUGUAGCGGUGAAAUGCGCAGAGAUAUGGAGGAACACCAGUGGCGAAGGCGACUUUCUGGUCUGUAACUGACGCUGAUGUGCGAAAGCGUGGGGAUCAAACAGGAUUAGAUACCCUGGUAGUCCACGCCGUAAACGAUGAGUGCUAAGUGUUAGGGGGUUUCCGCCCCUUAGUGCUGCAGCUAACGCAUUGAGCACUCCGCCUGGGGAGUACGACCGCAAGGUUGAAACUCAAAGGAAUUGACGGGGACCCGCACAAGCGGUGGAGCAUGUGGUUUAAUUCGAAGCAACGCGAAGAACCUUACCAAAUCUUGACAUCCUUUGACAACUCUAGAGAUAGAGCUUUCCCCUUCGGGGGACAAAGUGACAGGUGGCGCAUGGUUGUCGUCAGCUCGUGUCGUGAGAUGUUGGGUUAAGUCCCGCAACGAGCGCAACCCUUAAGCUUAGUUGCCAUCAUUAAGUUGGGCACUCUAAGUUGACUGCCGGUGACAAACCGGAGGAAGGUGGGGAUGACGUCAAAUCAUCAUGCCCCUUAUGAUUUGGGCUACACACGUGCUACAAUGGACAAUACAAAGGGCAGCGAAACCGCGAGGUCAAGCAAAUCCCAUAAAGUUGUUCUCAGUUCGGAUUGUAGUCUGCAACUCGACUACAUGAAGCUGGAAUCGCUAGUAAUCGUAGAUCAGCAUGCUACGGUGAAUACGUUCCCGGGUCU
rnacentral:rRNA from 1 species